AGGAAUUGUUUGCGGGAUAGGCCAAACCAGAGAUCCAUGUUGCAAUGUAAAUUGUUUUUGUCCAAGAGUGUUGGUUGUAGUUCUUUUGAAUGCCUACCAUCACUACCACCACCAUCUCCUCCUCAUUCGCCGCCACCACAACAUUCUACUCCACCACCGUCUUCUCCACCGCCUCCACCACUACAACCUUCUCCGCCGCCUCCAGUACACUGCGUUCGUGCUCCACCUCCACCCCCACCAAAUUCCCUGCCACCACCUCCACCAAGUCCACACUACAAUUCACCACCACCCCCGCCAUCCUCUCCACAAAC
rnacentral:lncRNA from 1 species